rnacentral:rRNA from 1 species
UAGGGAAUAUUGGUCAAUGGGUGAAAGCCUGAUCCAGCCAUGCCGCGUGUGUGAAGAAGGUCUUCGGAUUGUAAAGCACUUUAAGUUGGGAGGAAGGGCAGUAAGUUAAUACCUUGCUGUUUUGACGUUACCGACAGAAUAAGCACCGGCUAACUCUGUGCCAGCAGCCGCGGUAAUACAGAGGGUGCAAGCGUUAAUCGGAAUUACUGGGCGUAAAGCGCGCGUAGGUGGUUUGUUAAGUUGGAUGUGAAAGCCCCGGGCUCAACCUGGGAACUGCAUCCAAAACUGGCAAGCUAGAGUACGGUAGAGGGUGGUGGAAUUUCCUGUGUAGCGGUGAAAUGCGUAGAUAUAGGAAGGAACACCAGUGGCGAAGGCGACCACCUGGACUGAUACUGACACUGAGGUGCGAAAGCGUGGGGAGCAAACAGGAUUAGAUACCCAUGUAGUCCCUGAGCGGGCUGGCAAGGCGCAU